AUGAAGCGCAAAAACAAGGAGCAGAGGAGGGCCGAUGGAAUCACCGAUAGAGGUAGUGAUUCGCUGGAGACCAUGCGCCCGAACAAGAAGCAGAGGCUCGGCGGUAGCAGCGGUAGCAAUGAGGAGCGUGAGCCCUCGCCCUACCUGGUGGUAGGCCAUGGGAGUGUGAGCCCUGCCUUCUCCGUGUUCAAGGUGGAACCCUACACCGACGGCGGCGGCGGCGACACCCCGGUGAGCAUCCCGCGCCGCCUCGCCCGCCUCAAAUGCAAACACAACAUGUGUUUCGUCCCUUUGACAUUGAAGGACCGCCGGUGGAUCGUCGGCGUCGGCGGCAGCUCAACCAAGAACUACUACGGCCCGGGGACCAUCGUUUUCGACACCGAGAAGCAGUUGGUGAUCCGGGGCCCGGAACCUAAGUCGAUCAAGAGCCUCCCGAUCCUGCUACCCAUCUUGCAUCGAUUACUCUCUUUCCCGAAGCCCCUCAGUGAAGGGACCGCUCGAUUACUUGCCCUGGUUCGAGGUCCUCGACCUCUCCCAGGCACAGGCAGUCGACGGCCGUCUAACCAACUGCAAGUGGAGGUCCCUGCAGCGGCCACCCUUCUUUCCCUGGGAGCUCACCCCACGGCAGUACUGUUGUCCACCGAGGGUUGCCGUCGAGUCAUACGUCGCCGUGGGCUCCCACAUAUUGGUUUCUGUGACCGGACGGGUGGGCACGUACGCUUUUGA
rnacentral:rRNA from 1 species